rnacentral:lncRNA from 1 species
CUGAAGUUUAUUGCCAAUAACCAAUUCAAAAUACAUAAAACAAGACCAAUGUUUAUAAUCAUGAAUUAUGACAAUUAUGCAUCCAAGAUCCACUCUCCACCAAACCACUCAUGAUGAACUCUGAUCUGAUCAUAGCGGUAGUAAUUCGUCUCUGAGCUAGUGCUGAAAUACACCCAAUAGCAAUGGCCCUCUUCAGCAGUGAUGAUCUUCUCACUGGUGAUUUGCCCUACCCACCAACCAUCAUUAUGGAAAGCAUCAACUUUCUGAUUGAGUUGAAAUUCAUGAGGAUUACGAACACGUGGUGGUGUUGGACGUAGCUCAUAUGGAUAAAUGGUCUCUACAAGAGGUCCAGACUUGUCCUCAAGCAAAAGAUUCUUGUAUUGAACCAUGUAUUGUCCAUUUUGGAGACGUGAAACAACUCUGGCUUUGUAGUACGAACCGAAAAACCCCUCUUCUUUACUGCAUACUUCUACUUUAUCUCCUAUUUUGUAAUCCACUCUCCUCAUUGGUGGACGCAUGGUGGAACAAUGUCAAGAAUCUACACGAAGAAAUCUUGAGAGGGAUGGAAAUUGUUUUUAUUUGUGUGUUUCAAGUAACACACACCUUGUGUUGUUAUAUAGUCGAGGAGAUGGGUUGUUUGUUCGACAUUACGAUUUUUUAGACGGUCUAGAUUUUUUGAAGGUAACUUUAGUGUGAUUGGACGGACGGUUGAGAUUUUUUCUUCUAGAAAAGUUUAUUGUUUUGCCUUUUUUGUUCAUUUUUUAUUUAUUUUAUAACCAAAUAUGUGAGAUAAUUCUGAUUUUAUUGUCAAAUUUAUUUAAUAAAUUUCUAUCCAAAAAUAUAUUUAACAAUUUAGUUUUUG